rnacentral:lncRNA from 1 species
CGAACUCAGAGGGUCAAGGGCCGGUCAAUGUGCACAUGCAUGUUCGUUCUCCUCUGGCAGCUGUGUUAAGGCCUCAAUCCGGAUAAAACAAAAGCAAUAAUGUAUGUAGGUCUUCCCGAAGCAGCGGUUCAGAAUGAUCCCACACUGUGAGCAAUUCUGCCAAGAAACAGAGGUCUGGAGAAUCACAGCUUUCGUAAAUACCCUCCUCGUGAAAAUAUGAAUAUGCACAACACAGAGUAAGGAGAGACAUUCAGAAGACUCAGAAGCCAACACAACAAGGUUCAGGAAACUGAAUGCUUAGAGACUAGAGAGGCCUGUGUCUGUUCCUGAGUGGUGCUGAUGGAAAACGAUGAAGAUCCUGUUGAAGUCCUCAAUCCUGUGUACCUAUGUGAAGGAGAUAAGAUAAUAACCCUUCAAAAUAAUCCUGUUUGAAACAGAAACAUGGAGGCCUCCGUCUUGAACCUAUGUAUCUUCCUCUGAGAAAUCAUGCAAAAGAUUUUCCCCUGGGACAAGAGGGAAAUGGUCUGUGAAAGAAAGAACCUUCUACCUUCCAAGAUGCUGGCUUGUCAAUAGUUUUCAUGACCCACCCUCUCUCCCUAACUUCUUCCACCACUGUUAUUCAUCACUUCAUUCAUAGACUGAGUAGUCAACAGUGACGUGAAUCUUCUGGGAAUACACUGGUUUUUCCCCACGCUUGUAUUUAAUAAACAUGCCCGUGGCUUAGCAUGGGUAAAUCUGAACAGCAUCAGUUGUGUGUUUCUUGGGUGUUGUGUGAAUGACCCAGGCUAUCCCUAACAUUAGAAUCCAGAACUCAUAAAUGCUAAUCCUUAGGGAUAAUGGUAACAUCAUCCUUGCAAUCCAU